CGGGUGAGUAAUGUAUGGGGAUCUGCCUGAUGGCGGGGGAUAACUACUGGAAACGGUAGCUAAUACCGCAUAAUGUCUACGGACCAAAGCGGGGGACCUUCGGGCCUCGCGCCAUCAGAUGAACCCAUAUGGGAUUAGCUUGUAGGUGAGGUAACGGCUUACCUAGGCGACGAUCCCUAGCUGGUCUGAGAGGAUGAUCAGCCACACUGGGACUGAGACACGGCCCAG
rnacentral:rRNA from 1 species